rnacentral:lncRNA from 1 species
AUGGAGGAGCAGGUGAGACUGGCAGAGCUGCCUACAGCCUUGGACAGCACACUCAUGGUACCCAGGAGUGGGCUUCAGCAUGCAGCUGUCACCUCCUAUGGAUACAAACUGCAGUGCCUCUGGAUCCAGGUGAGGAAGAUCGCCAGGGAGAGGGACAAGGCAAAGCUGGACUUGGAGAAGGCAGAGAGACGCUGCCUGCAUCUUGGCAGGGAGCUGGACGAGCAGUACAUCGCUCUCAAGCACACCCAGAGCAAGCUCAAGUAGGAAGGGUCUUUUUGGUGGGGCUGGGAAGAUGUGCCUACAGCCUCUCCCUCCCAUCCCAGUCUCCCUGUUAAAUCUCCCACUUGUUUUGUCAACGUGCUAGUGGCAGAAAAAUCCCUGAAGACCUUCCCCCACUAUGGUUUCAGCAUCCUUCCAACCAAGUUCUCAUCUCCUGCUUUGUGCGUGGUGAGGGAGGGUGUCUGUACCUCGUGACCAUCUGAGAACAUGCUCCAGGUGCCCCAGCCACGUUGCUUUCUUCCCCCAGGGAUUUUCAGGCAGAAAUAGAAGCAAAAGAGCUGCUUUUGCAGCAAGCAGUCAGUCACCAGGCAAAGCUGGAGGCUGAUACACAGUUCCUCCAGGGCAAAGAGGCCAACCUGCAAGGGAGACUGAACCACGUGAUGAAGGUAAGUAAAACUGCCCUGGGUGAAACAUCUUCACUUCUUCAGAUGAGGCAAAGCAGAGGUGGUGACAAAUAUGGAUGGUUUGUGUUGCUUUUGCUGGGAAGGACAGGAAUUUUAUGCAGAAGAAUCAUCAGCCACAUCCAUACUAUUGUAUUAAAUACAGAGCUUGUUCCCUUGCUGUGGCAUUAUUAAACCCCCAUGUUGUUUGUUGGGACUGGUUUGGCCCUUGAUAACACCUGGAUACUCAAUAGCUAAGGCUAUAAUUGUGCCAGGGAUCAUGCCAAAAGCAGAGAUGAUGGUGUCUGCGUGCCUGGGAUCAUCCCAGUUCUGUUCAUUGUAGAAGUACAGCUGGAGAUAGCCCAGGACUUGCUGCCUUUGUUGUCUGUGACGGAAACCAUAGUUUUGUGAAGCAGGGGUAGAGAUGAGCCUGUGGGGCUAUCUAGCUCUUAUUCUGCAAAACCCACUCCUAUGCCUGUCCUUUGGAGAGAUGAGCCUAACCCCAGCCCAUGAGGUAUCAACAGUGUGCUGUGCUGUCCUGUUGUGGUUUAGGAAUGGUACUGCCCAGUUUAGUUCUCCCACAAGACUUUCCAAACCACACUACU